rnacentral:rRNA from 1 species
UACGUAGGGGGCAAGCGUUGUCCGGAUUCAUUGGGCGUAAAGAGCGUGUAGGCGGCCAGGUAGGUCGGUUGUGAAAACUGGAGGCUCAACCUUCAGAGGUCGAUCGAAACCAUUUGGCUAGAGUCCGGGAGAGGAGAGUGGAAUUCCUGGUGUAGCGGUGAAAUGCGCAGAUAUCAGGAGGAACACCGGUGGCGAAGGCGGGUCUCUGGGCCGUAACUGACGCUGAGGAGCGAAAGCAUGGGUAGCGAACAGG